AUUACGUGUAGCAGGUUUGAUUUGAUGGCGCAAUGGAGGAAGACAGGGAAAAUAGCAAGGAAAGUCAGAGAAAACAACAAAAAAAUGUAAAGUUUGGGACCAUUUCAAACAAAAGAAAAGCGAAAAUACUUUACAGUGUGUCCAUUGGUAAGCACAACGUCAAUGAUUCGAUAUCUCAACAGAAAGCACCCAGUCUCUGCAUCUAGUCCAAAGAGCGGAACCAAUACAAGGAGCAACACUUAAUCGAGGUCUGGAAGGAUGCUGUGGUCGUCCCUGUUCCCAAAUCCUGCUUCCCCAAAACCCUCAUCAAUUGUAAUGAAACAUCUGAAAGAUUAGUAAGGUCAGAACUCCUAAGGAAAGCUGAGCAUGUGCUUGACCCCAAGCAGUUUGCUUUCAGUCCUCAUAGGGGACUAGAGGAUGCCACAGUCACUUUGUUUAACCUACCUUUUAGACAUUUGGGGAAAAAAAUGGCACCAUGUCAGACUUUUAUUGUUUUGAUUUUUCUGUUGCUUUUAAUGCAAUUUAACUCCAUAUUUUAAUUACUAAGCUGCUAGAACAGUUUGACCUGAGUAAGAAUCUGGUAAACUGGAUUCUUAAAAUUUUUAACUAACAGGACACAAACACUGAGGAUGAAUGGAAGUAAUCAGACCAGUUUUGCUCCUCACAUAAAUUAAUGUUUCAGUUAUAGUAAAACAGUAUUUUCUGUCUGUCUUAUUUUAUUGUAUUUAAACUGCAUUUAUUGUGUUACAUUUUUAUAGUUUUUGUCUUAAGUUGCAUGUAUGGAAUGAUGAAAUGGCUCCUUUGAAAAAUAAAGCAGUAAAAACCA